GAUGAACGCUGGCGGCGUGCUUAACACAUGCAAGUCGAACGGUGAAGGCGGAGCUUGCUCUGCUGGAUCAGUGGCGAACGGGUGAGUAACACGUGAGCAAUCUGCCCCUGACUCUGGGAUAAGCGCUGGAAACGGCGGCUAAUACUGGAUACGAGCUGCGAAGGCAUCUUCAGCAGCUGGAAAGAACUUCGGUCAGGGAUGAGCUCGCGGCCUAUCAGCUUGUUGGUGAGGUAACGGCUCACCAAGGCGUCGACGGGUAGCCGGCCUGAGAGGGUGACCGGCCACACUGGGACUGAGACACGGCCCAGACUACUACGGGAGGCAGCAGUGGGGAAUAUUGCACAAUGGGCGAAAGCCUGAUGCAGCAACGCCGCGUGAGGGACGACGGCCUUCGGGUUGUAAACCUCUUUUAGCAGGGAAGAAGCGAAAGUGACGGUACCUGCAGAAAAAGCGCCGGCUAACUACGUG
rnacentral:rRNA from 1 species